GAUGAACGCUAGCUACAGGCUUAACACAUGCAAGUCGAGGGACCGGCGCACGGGUGAGUAACGCGUAUCCAACCUACCCAUUACUGUGGGAUAACCUGCCGAAAGGCAGACUAAUACCGCAUAGUAAUGGAUGGGGAGGCGUCUGAUUAGCUUGUUGGCGGGGUAAAGGCAGACCAAGGCAACGAUCAGUAGGGGUUCGGAGAGGGAGGUCACCCAGAUUGGAACAGAGACAAGACCCAAACUCGUAGGGGAGGGAGCGGUGAGUAAUAUUGGGCAAGGGGCGCGAGCCUGAAACGGCCAAGUAGCGUGCAGGAUGCUGGGCUAUGGGUUGUAAACUGCUUUUGUAUGAGGAUAGGUACCAGACUAAUAAGGACCGGCUAACUCCGUGCCAGCCGCCGCGGUAAUUC
rnacentral:rRNA from 1 species